rnacentral:rRNA from 1 species
GACGAACGCUGGCGGCGUGCUUAACACAUGCAAGUCGAGCGGUAAGGCCCUUUCGGGGGGUACACGAGCGGCGAACGGGUGAGUAACACGUGGGUGACCUGCCCUCAGCUCUGGGAUAAGCCCGGGAAACUGGGUCUAAUACCGGAUAUGACUCCAUGACGCAUGUUGUGGGGUGGAAAGCCUUGUGCGGCUGAGGAUGGGCCCGCGGCCUAUCAGCUUGUUGGUGGGGUGAUGGCCACCAAGGCGACGACGGGUAGCCGGCCUGAGAGGGCGACCGGCCACACUGGGACUGAGACACGGCCCAGACUCCUACGGGAGGCAGCAGUGGGGAAUCUUGCGCAAUGGGCGAAAGCCUGACGCAGCGACGCCGCGUGA